UCGAACCCACAACCUCAUGGUUCCUAGUCAGAACCAGCAGGAAGAUGCUGGCUGCUCCAUCGACCUGAGUCCCGGGAUGAGGAGAUAGGAAGAGUUUCUGCUAUGCUGUGGACACGGGACAUAAAUGCCAUUGAUUCGUGACUUUGAGAUGCACCUCAUGACAAGGAAGGAUCCAAGAUGAGACUAGAAAUGGUCCUGGAGAAUGUAUCUCUCACACUUAUAUUCUGGAAUAAAAUUCAA